rnacentral:piRNA from 1 species
UCAGCUUUUCUUAGUUGCCUGCAUUUUGUC